rnacentral:lncRNA from 1 species
AAUCCAGCUCAGCAGCGACAGACUCAGAUGCCAUCCUGCAUGUGUCAGUUCACCUGGUGAAUGGCGAGCCUGAAGGCUGGUGGGAGCCUUUACCCCUUUAAGUCAACAACAACAACAACUAAAAUCCCAAAAAUCCAGUUUAGACAAUCAUCAACAGAACAAUCAAAAAUCUCUUUGUGACCAAAAGAUAUUUUUACCUGUAUGUAAUUGUCUUCCCUUUUGUCUGAGGCCUUAGCUGAUCAAGGAUCCAGCAUUCUUAAACUUUGAGUGAGACCAGAGCACCCCAUGCAGCACAGCCAACAUCAAAGUCCCGAAUGAGAUCAGCCGCCCCGGAAAAUUCUUGAGAGUGCAUAUCAUCACAUUCCAAUGGUUCUGGCUUUAAUUUUUUCCUCUCUAUUUCUGAACUGUAGUUUCUUAAUUGAAACCACACAAAGCUACUUGAGCACUCUGUCUUAAAGGGACAGAAGGACACCUUCUGGAGGAAUGAAGGGAGAGGAUUAAUGACUUGAUGACUCUUCUUGCAGAACCAGCUGACUCUAGAGACUCAGCAGGAAGCUGCUAUCCAGUGUGACAUCAGAGACCCUCUACAGCCCAUCGCCACGUGUCUGCAGUCCUGUCAUCAUCGCUCCUUCUAGGCUGAGACACUGAACACCGCUUUUUAAAUGCAAACUUCAUAUAAUUCAAAUGUUCAUCAGUCGGGACCCUUGGUCCCAUGUAACAGAAAACUUGAGUCAGGCAGUUUGCAGUUAAAGGAAUUGUAACAUCAGAUGACUAAGAAGAGCAAGGAGGGGUUGUUAGUUUCAGGCACAGCUGGAUCCAGACGCUCAAAGGAUGCCAUCAGGUCCUGACUAACGUCUCCUGGGCUCUGGGCUCGUCCCCUCCCUCUUGGGUCCAUUCUUAGAGAGAAUCUCCUGUCACGGCUGCAGGACAGACGAGUCCAGUAGAAAAGAGUCUCUGUGCACCCCCAGAAGCCACAGCAACAGUGUCCUCGCAUCUCCUUGGUCCUGAGUGUGUCACACGUCUGUCCCUGAACCAGUCAGAGCUGCCAGGAAAGGAAAGCCCUAGGAUCUCAGUCCGCCUGACACAGAGGGCUGGUCAAGCCACGUGGUUUCACAGACUGGAAGGAAAGUCUGAAGAAACACCCUCGGGGAGAGUGAGAGUGACUCAGCUCCAGGGGGAGCAACUGAUGGGCAGACUUUUCGGGGCACCACGACGGGCUCCAGCCACACCAGAAUCUGUGUCUCUUCUCCACAGAUCCGUAUUCUCAGGGUCUCUUUGGACAUCCUCGCUGGGUUAUGGGGAGUGAAGAUGCCUCUUCGCCACAAUGAUUCAUCGCAUUGCAAUCUGUCUAUUGAUCAUCAGUCAGGACUCAGGCAGGCACUGCAGGUGCAACCAUCUCCCCACGGAGACCUGGACAUCGUCCAGCUGCACUGCACCAGGAGAGCAACUGUCGGGUCCCAUCGCACUGGGAUCUGCAUGGCUCCAGGGGAAAGAACUUGGCUAGAGUUGAGUGCCUCCUAAUCCCCAGUAGAAGAUGACGUUUCCAUCUUGCUUUUUCACCCCCUCGAAUCUUCGCAGAGCCUGAGGUGGGGGCGGGUCCGUCCAGCAGAGCGUUACAACCACCCCACCCCGUAAUGACACAGCUACGCCUCAGGAGUUCCAUGAAGACUGAAACGUCCCGAGCCCGUCUCUUUUCUAAGGUUAGCUGACGCAUGUCUGCUCCAGACUUCAGGUCAGCGUCAGCCCCACGUGUCUCCAUCCUGGGCGCCUCGGACGUCAGAGCCUGCCCUUCUCUUGCCCAUUCCAAAAGGCCAACAGCCUAAGCAUCCCACACGAGCAGAUGUACAACCUCUUCUCAUGUCACGUCCACUUGUACCCCCUUGGCCAAGACCAAAGUCCUUGGGACGAGGCCGUCGCUCUGCUCUCUCUGCAGGGAAGCGCCAGAGGCCACGCGGCAGAGGGAAGCGAUUGUGAAAGGUAAUCCAGUCCGCGGCACCCACGUGGCUCUGAACCUUUCAGUGACACAGCAAUGACUUCCCUCUAUUGUCGAGUUCGAGUUUCAGGUUAUGUGCGACACAGAGGGUGCUGACCGAGACCCUGGGCCUGCCUCGUCGUUCCCGGCCACACCUGCAGACUUGCUAGUGUCUCUUUCAGAAGAACGUCUGAGACUCUGCACGUAGAGCAGAAAGCUGGUGAGAGAUCAGCGGCAGAUGACAACAGAGGUGGAGAUGAAAUUCUGGGAUCCAACGCCUUCUCGCUGCUGAGGUGGUGUUUGGGCGCUGGCUUCCAGCCACGAGUGUGAACAUCACAAAAUUCAGCCCGGGGCCAAGGCCACCCUGAAUUAAAGGAGUGACUGAAUCAACGAAAUGAAAUGAGCUUCUGUUCCCUUCAGACACCCACGGUCACUAACACACAGCCCUCUUGUCCUCUUGUUGACGCUGUUAAUUAACGUAGGGACGCAAAUCAGCCAGCUGAGCCAUGCCCACAGAUAGGAAGGACUCGGUAACUGUUAUCGAUCCUUUCUCCCCAUCUCUCAAAACAUCUGAAAUUUAAAUGAAGUCAAUCCAGUUGACAACUCUCAACCAAGAUCCUUCAGAGCCCCACAGCGGUUAAGGGGGCACUGCUAAGAACCAGCCUGCCGGGGUCCGACCCCAGCGUCUCCUCUUCUAGGCCAUGAGAUCCUGGGCAAGCGGCUUCACCUCUCUGAGCCUCAGUCUCCUCAUCUGUACAAUGGGUCCGUCACCCCCAUGCUGCGCUCUGGGGCUGAAUUCGAAGCUCCUCUCCUUCCCAGCCGUGCGAUCUGGGCAAGCGACUUCGCCUGUCCAUUCCUCAGUUUCCUCAUUUGUAAAAUGGGGACGAUAACAGCUCCUACCUCACAGCAGUAUUGUGAGGACUAAAUGGGUUAAUAAGUAGGCGUGCUCAGAAGAGAUCCCGUCACAUAUGUGUCACUCAAUAGCUGUUGCUAUUACUAGUAAAAUCAGCAGUCAUAGUAGUAAUAGCGACACUACUAUGGGUAGUAAUAAUAGUAGAGAUAGAAAUAGUAGUAGUAGUAGCGAUAAUAGUAACAGUAGUAGUAGUGACUGUAGUAGUAACAGUGGUAGUAGUAACUGUAGUAGUAGUAAUACUAAUAGUAGCAAUACUACUAGUAGUAGAAUUUUCCUUCAUCUUAAGAAAGCUUAGAAAUAAUCACGGUAUUAUAAGUAUAAUGACAAUUUCAUAUGUUCAAACUCAUAGUAACCUUUGUUGAAUGAACUUGUAUGUGUCUGGCACUCUGCUAAGCAACUUACAGGCAUUACCAUAGUCCUUCUCACAUCUUGAUGAUGACGAUGAUCAUGGUGAUGACAACGCACUCUCCUUCACACAGAUGAGAACUACGAGGCGCAGAGAAAUCCAGUCACCUAAGCGAUUAAGGUCACACAGCAAAUCAUGACAAAUCCAGGAUUUAAACACAGGCCGUCUGAUUCCAGAGCCUGAGGCUCCCCAUGUCACUAUUCUGCUUCCACAGGAUAGGAAAGCUAAGACACAUCCUUCCUCAUCUCUUUGCUCAUUUGUUCAAUAGUAUUUAUUGAGUCCCCUCCGUGUGCUGAGAAUAGAACGAGACAGAGACGGUGCACUCACCCUUCUGACUCUCUGUCUCUCUACCCACCCAGCCGUCCAGCCAGCCAGCCAUGUAUCCAUUCGGCAUCCGUCAUUCAGUCAUGCGUGCAUCUGUGCUCAGCCCCUAAUAGUUCUGGGACGUGAUGCCUCCAUCGCCAGUAGAGUCGUCGUCAUUCAGAGGGUGAACGUGGGUCUUCCUAAGAGGCUUCACCACAUCGUCUCCACUGGAAACUACUAUGUCGACACUCUAUUUCUUAGUCUGUUAUUCCAGUCUCUGAUAAAACGAUUAUUCUGCAAAUCUCUAAUUUUAUGCCCCACUCUCCAAAAUGCAAAUGACCCCUCUGGACGUCCAGCUGGCCACUGGUGGGAGUUUUGAUUCAUCCUCUUGCUGCCUGGGGACUGGCCACGGCGUGACGAUCCAUUAUAAGGUUCACCUGGCUCAUGUCUCCAAGCCGGUCAAGUUAUCUUCACAUCUCAACACGUGGACAGAUGGCUGCUGGAGCUGGGGUGUCGCGAUGUUUACGUCUCAGCCUGAGGCAUUGCACCAGCUAUGUCUUCAUUUUUUGAAAUAACAGGCAAUAAUAGUGGCUUAAAUUUUAAGAUUUAUUUGGUUUAAAUUGGGCUCCCAGACUCGGAAAUAUAUCUGUAGCAAAAGCUCUUUCAGGAAUACUUUAGGACCGGCCCUGUGGCCUAGUGGUUAAGUUCACGCACUCCGCUUCAGUGGCCCAGGGUUUCGCCGGUUCAGAUCCUGGGCACGGACACGGCACUGCUCAGCAAGCCAUGCUGAGGCAGCGUCCCACAUGCCACAACUAGAAGAACCCACAACUAAAAUAUACAACGAUGUACUUGGGAGAUUUGGGGAGAAAAAGCAGAAAAAAAAAAGAAGAUUGGCAACAGUUGUUAGCUCAGGUGGCAAUCUUUAAAAAAAAAUACUUUAAUAAUCUGGUUUUGUUAAAGUCUAAUCUUUAAAGAAAAUAUACAUAUUCAAUUAUUUAAUGAGCUGGACGCUGAGGCUUUUUUUUUUCCAAGGAAAUGAAGUUUAACAUUUCGUUUUGAUUCUGUGAUUGGCAUUCCAGUCAAUUAGCACAGCUCAUUUGGGUAUUUGGUUCAAUUCCGUGGACUG